rnacentral:rRNA from 1 species
AACGCGAAGAACCUUACCUGGGCUCGAAGCGCAGUGGACCGGGGUAGAAAUAUCCCUUCCUCGCAAGAGGCUGCUGCGGAGGUGCUGCAUGGCUGUCGUCAGCUCGUGUCGUGAGAUGUUGGGUUAAGUCCCGCAACGAGCGCAACCCUCACCCUUAGUUGCUCGUCCGCAAGGAAAGCACCCUAAGGGAACUGCCUCGGAUAACGGGGAGGAAGGUGGGGAUGACGUCAAGUCCUCAUGGCCUUUAUGCCCAGGGCUACACACGUGCUACAAUGGUCGGUACAAACCGUUGCUUACCCGCGAGGGGAAGCCAAUCGGAAAAAACCGAUACUCAGUUCGGAUUGCAGGCUGCAACUCGCCUGCAUGAAGCUGGAAUCGCUAGUAAUCACGUAUCAGAACGACGUGGUGAAUACGUUCCCGGGCCUUGUACACACCGGCUAC